CCUACGGGAGGCAGCAGUGGGGAAUAUUGCACAAUGGGGGAAACCCUGAUGCAGCGACGCCGCGUGAAGGAAGAAGUAUUUCGGUAUGUAAACUUCUAUCAGCAGGGAAGAAAAUGACGGUACCUGACUAAGAAGCCCCGGCUAACUACGUGCCAGCAGCCGCGGUAAUACGUAGGGGGCAAGCGUUAUCCGGAUUUACUGGGUGUAAAGGGGGCGUAGGGGGUGAUGCAAGUCAGAAGUGAAAGCCCGGAGCUCAACUGCGGGACUGCUUUUAAUACUGUAUGGCUAGAUUGCAGGAGAGGUAGGUGGAAUACCUAGUGUAGCGGUGAAAUGCGUAGAUAUCGAGAGGAACACUCGUAGCGAAGGCGGGUUCCUGGACAUUAACUGACGCUGAGGCACGAAGGCAAGGGGAGCGAAAGGGAUUAGAUACCCGAGUAGUC
rnacentral:rRNA from 1 species